GAAUCCCGUACGUGGUCGCUAGCCUUCGCCGUAAAGCCCCUUCGACGAGUCGAGUUGUUUGGGAAUGCAGCUCUAAAUGGGAGGUAAAUUUCUUCUAAAGCUAAAUACUGGCCAGAGACCGAUAGCGCACAAGUAGAGUGAUCGAAAGAUGAAAAGCACUUUGGAAAGAGAGUCAAAUAGCACGUGAAAUUGUUGAAAGGGAAGCGCUUGCAGCCAGACUUGCCUGUAGUUGCUUAUCCGGACUUUUGUCCGGUGCACUCUUCUGCGGGCAGGCCAGCAUCAGUCUAGGCGGUUGGAUAAAGGUCUCUGUCAUGUACCUCUCUUCGGGGAGGCCUUAUAGGGGAGACGACAUGCAACCAGCCUGGACUGAGGUCCGCGCAUCUGCUAGGAUGCUGGCGUAAUGGCUGUAAGCGGCCCGUCUUGAAACACGGACCAAGGAGUCUAACAUCUAUAGUGUUUGGGUGUCAAGCCCAGACGCGUAAUGAAAGUGAACGGAGGUGGGAACCCUUUGGGUGCACCAUCGACCGAUCCUGAUGUCUUCGGAUGGAUUUGAGUAAGAGCAUGGCUGUUGGGACCCGAAAGAUGGUGAACUAUGCUUGAAUAGGGUGAAGCCAGAGGAAACUCUGGUGGAGGCUCGCAGCGGUUCUGACGUGCAAAUCGAUCGUCAAAUUUGGGCAUAGGGGCGAAAGACUAAUCGAACUAUCUAGUAGCUGGUUCCUGCCGAAGUUUCCCUCAGGAUAGCAGUAACGUAUUCAGUUUUAUGAGGUAAAGCGAAUGAUUAGAGGCCUGGGGGUUGAAACAACCUUCACCUAUUCUCAAACUUUAAAUAUGUAAGAAGUCCUUGUUACUUGAUUGAACGUGGACACUUGAAUGUACCGUUACUAGUGGGCCAUUUUUGGUAAGCAGAACUGGCGAUCUGUCAUGUACCUCUCUUCGGGGAGGCCUUAUAGGGGAGACGACAUGCAACC
rnacentral:rRNA from 1 species